GUAGAGAGAAUCAUCUUCUCCAAACAAUCACUAAACGCCAUUUGCUUAGCUUUUUCCCUCUUUUGAUUUUUCCUCCCUACACGUCACCUCUCUCUUCUUCUCACCGGAAAAAAGUCUUCACCUUUCACCGGAAAAUAUCACCUUUUCAACCGGCGUAUGUUCACAUGAACGGCACAACAUCAUCAAUCAACUUCUUGACCUCCGACGAUGACGCGUCGGCGGCGGCUAUGGAAGCUUUC
rnacentral:lncRNA from 1 species